UCACUUCCACAGGCUGGCCGCCCCCCAGGCUGGGCUGGGCGAGUAUCUCUUCGAAAGGCUCACCCUCAAGCAGGACUAGGAGC
rnacentral:pre_miRNA from 1 species